rnacentral:rRNA from 1 species
ACGACUCUCGGCAACGGAUAUCUCGGCUCUCGCAUCGAUGAAGAACGUAGCGAAAUGCGAUACUUGGUGUGAAUUGCAGAAUCCCGUGAACCAUCGAGUCUUUGAACGCAAGUUGCGCCCCAAGCCUUCUGGCCGAGGGCACGUCUGCCUGGGUGUCACAAAUCGUCGUCCCCAUUCUUUGCGGAUGA